rnacentral:rRNA from 1 species
GUUUGAUCCUGGCUCAGAUUGAACGCUGGCGGCAUGCCUUACACAUGCAAGUCGAACGGCAGCAUGGGUGCUUGCACCUGAUGGCGAGUGGCGAACGGGUGAGUAAUGCAUCGGAACGUACCCGGAAGUGGGGGAUAACGUAGCGAAAGUUACGCUAAUACCGCAUAUUCUGUGAGCAGGAAAGCGGGGGAUCGCAAGACCUCGCGCUUCCGGAGCGGCCGAUGUCGGAUUAGCUAGUUGGCGGGGUAAAGGCCCACCAAGGCAACGAUCCGUAGCGGGUCUGAGAGGAUGAUCCGCCACACUGGGACUGAGACACGGCCCAGACUCCUACGGGAGGCAGCAGUGGGGAAUUUUGGACAAUGGGCGCAAGCCUGAUCCAGCCAUGCCGCGUGAGUGAAGAAGGCCU